rnacentral:tRNA from 1 species
UCCCUGGUGGCUCAGACGGUAAAGCGUCUGCCUGCAGUGCGGGUCACCCAGGUUCGAUCCCUGGGUUGAGAA